rnacentral:tRNA from 2 species
GCAGGGGUAGCCGAGCCAGGUCAAAGGCGCAGGACUUAGGAUCCUGUACUUAGCGUUUCCGGGGUUCGAAUCCCCGCCUCUGCA